rnacentral:rRNA from 1 species
UACGGGGGGAGCAAGCGUUGUUCGGAUUGACUGGGCGUAAAGGGCGCGUAGGCGGUUUGUACAGUCAGACGUGAAAUUCCUGGGCUCAACCUGGGGGCUGCGUUUGAUACGUGCAGACUUGAGUUCGGAAGAGGGUCGUGGAAUUCCCAGUGUAGAGGUGAAAUUCGUAGAUAUCGUCAGGAAUGCCGGUGGUGAAGACGGGUGACUGGGCUGGUUCUGACACUGAGGCACGAAAGCGUGGGGAGCGAACGGG